CCAGAAUGCAGAGUGGAGAGAAAACGGGUGGAAAACACAGGAAAGAGCCCGGCAGACAUGGAGUGGGAAGUUGUGUCCCUGAAACAGGCCCAGGUGGAGAGGAGAGAGGACGGAGCGGGGGCAGGACGGAGAUGUGACAUUUGGGAGUUUUACACCAUUGUUACAGGACACAGAGUCACAGGUUGAAGAAGUCCUGCCAAGUCCAAGCAGGGUUAACGCCGAAACCACCAGAGGCAAGUGAAUUGCAGUCAUACUGCUGAACAGCAGCCAGAGAAACAAGACCAGCAGCCAGAUCCAGGGGAAGUCGGGGGCUUGUUUUCAGUUCUCCUUGAUUUCUUCUAAACAGCCACAGUCUGAUUCUUUUUUUAAGCGAUGUGAUGUGGACAUAGAGAGCUUGCUUUCAUUGUCUGGUUUAACCUGCUGCUGUUCGUAGCCCUGAGUCGUGUGUUGGACAGGGAAGGCGUCUCACCAGACAGAGGUGUAGACGGGCCAGGGGAGGCGUCCCACCAGACAGACGUGUAGAUGGGCCAGGGGAGGCGUCUCACCAGACAGAGGUGUAGACGGGCCAGGUUUCCACAGUCGUUCAUGCAGUGGUAUUUUGUGCUGAGCUCUGUUCUGAUUCUCUCUUCUGGUAGCUUCUCAUCUCCCAGAUAUGUCAUUCUGUGUGGAAGCG
rnacentral:lncRNA from 1 species